GAUGAACGCUGGCGGCGUGCCUAAUACAUGCAAGUCGAGCGAACAGGCGAGGAGCUUGCUCCUCUGACGUUAGCGGCGGACGGGUGAGUAACACGUGGAUAACCUACCUAUAAGACUGGGAUAACUUCGGGAAACCGGAGCUAAUACCGGAUAAUAUAUUGAACCGCAUGGUUCAAUAGUGAAAGACGGUUUUGCUGUCACUUAUAGAUGGAUCCGCGCCGCAUUAGCUAGUUUGUAAGGUAACGGCUUGCCAAGGCGACGAUGCGUAGCCGACCUGUGAGGGUGAUUGGCCACGCUGGAACUGAGACACGGUCCAUACUCCUACGGGAGGCAGCAGUUGGGAAUCUUCCGCAAUAGGCGAAAGCCUGACGGAGCAACGCCGCGUCGGUUAUGAAGGUCUUCGGAUCGUAAAACUCUGUUAUUAGGGAAGAACAAAUGUGUAAGUAACUAUGCACGUCUUGACGGUACCUAAUCAGAAAGCCACGGCUAACUACGUG
rnacentral:rRNA from 1 species